rnacentral:lncRNA from 1 species
UGGAAAGUAUGUCAAGAAAAGGUUAAGUCAUAUGAAGAUGGAAAGUAUGAAGAUGAAAAGUAUGUCAAGUCACCUUAGCAUAAUGUCGUAGUGACGGCCAAUAUGUAUCCCCAAUAUUGCAGAAGUAAAAGUAUCAAAACAUAGUAAAACUAAUAAAAAAAAAAAGUAAAAAACGAAUAAUAUUAGGCAAUAAUAACUAAAUUAUCGUGCACAUGAUAAAACUAAGCAAAAUAAGCACAUAUUUUCAACCAAUAUAGCAAACAUUGGCUAGAGAACGGCCAAGUUAAUGAGCCAUUUGGGUUUUCCAAAAUUAGGGGAACGGCCGUAACGUUAGGUUUCAAUUAGACGUGACUUUUAGACUUUUAAUCAUUUACUAAGUUUUAAAUGAAAAUAAAUUAUGGGAAAAAGUAAAAAAAGAUAAAUAGCAUCCUAGCCAUAUGUGCCAAAUCAGCUAGUCUGGUUCGAUUCAAACUUUCCUAUCUUGUCCUUACACUACACUAUGUGUCAUAACCAGUUCAAAAUAUGCUUACAUAAAAAAGAAAAAGCCAAUUUAUGGUAAAACUAAAAUAUCCCUGGAACACAGCUAAAUUUCCUUGCAAUUAAUAGAAAAGAGUUUUUUUUGUUUUAAUGGUUCAAAAGAAUUCCCUUCUUCCCGACUUAUGUGAUAUUUCUUUUUAGCUCAUUCUAAAAAGAAUGACACUCUUUUAAAUUUAAAAAUAAUUAACUUUAUACUUUUUAUUUUUCUCACAACGAAAAGCUAUGAUAACCACAUAAAUGACAUGUUUAGAGCCACAAGUUUUACCAGUCUUCAUGUUUUUCUUACUCCAUUCAGAUUCAAAUUGUCACACAAAUUCAAACAGAGCGGGUAGCAGAUUAACUAAUCAUAACAGCGCAUGGCAAGCAUGCCUUGGUGUCUGUGGCACUGUAGGCCGCAAGGAUUUAUCAAAACGGGCUCAGCGGAUACCUUCGCCGAUUAUUUUUUAAUUUAAGCGGUUGGAUGAAUGGUUAUUUGACAUAAUUCUUCUAAGGAAAACUAAGAGAAACUACAGCAAUACAAAGAUAAAGUAGCACAAAAACAGACCCCAAGGCUGGAAGACGAAAGGCAUUAAAUGCAAAUAAAUUGAGUUUUUUGUCCAUUCAAGCCAAAGUACACACAUGAAUGCUGCAACAAUACGAAUCCUUAGAGCACAAAACAAACAAUUUAAAUUCCAAGGGUAGCUGGUAAGCAUGUUUAUCAUGAGGUGACUAGUUUUCAUUUUCAUUUAUAACAGGCAGAAGUAGAAAUGUAUAAAUAUAAUAAUGGAGAAAUUUGUCAAAAAGUUAUCCCUUUUCAUUUUACGCCAUCUCUGUCAUAUAAAGAUGGAAAAUAUGUCAACAACAGGUUAAUCACUUAAGACAUCACUAAUACAUUGGGUCCUCCCAUUUUUCGUCGUCAGAGCUCCAAACUUCCAUUAUACGCAAUCUCUAUCAUAUGAAGAUGGAAAGUAUGUCAGGAAAAGGUUAAGUCAUAUGAAGAUGGAAAGUAUGUCAGGAAAAGGUUAAGUCAUAUGAAGAUGGAAAGUAUGAAGAUGAAAAGUAUGUGUCAAAGUCACCUCAGCAUAACGUCCUAGUGACGGCCAAUAUAUAUGUACCCAAUAUUGGAACAACCUCAUAUCGAAUUUCAGCAGUAGAUAGGUAUUCAAGCUUUUCCAA